rnacentral:ncRNA from 1 species
CUAUGACAAGAUUGCUGUCAUGGCGGAAGGAG